ACGUAGGGAGCAAGCGUUGUCCGGAUUUAUUGGGCGUAAAGAGCUCGUAGGCGGCUUAGAUAGUCGGAUGUUAAACCCCUAGGCUUAACCUAGGGCAGCCAUUCGAUACUACUAUGGCUAGAGUUCGGUAGGGGAUUGUGGAAUUCCCGGUGUAGCGGUGAAAUGCGCAGAUAUCGGGAGGAACACCAAUGGCGAAGGCAGCAAUCUGGGCCGAUACUGACGCUGAGGAGCGAAAGCGUGGGGAGCAAACAGGAUUAGAUACCCUGGUAGUCCACGCCCUAAACGUUGGGCACUAGGUGUGGGACCUACUUCGACGGGUUCCGUGCCGUAGCUAACGCAUUAAGUGCCCCGCCUGGGGAGUACGGCCGCAAGGCUA
rnacentral:rRNA from 1 species